UGAGGAAUAUUGGACAAUGGUGGGAACACUGAUCCAGCCAUGCCGCGUGCAGGAUGACGGCCCUAUGGGUUGUAAACUGCUUUUAUAUAGGAAGAACCCCACUUACGCGUAGGUGGUUGACGGUACUAUAAGAAUAAGGACCGGCUAACUCCGUGCCAGCAGCCGCGGUAAUACGGAGGGUCCGAGCGUUAUCCGGAAUCAUUGGGUUUAAAGGGUCCGUAGGCGGGCCAGUAAGUCAGAGGUGAAAGGCCACGGCUCAACCGUGGGACUGCCUUUGAUACUGCUGGUCUUGAGUUGUGGUGAGGUUGCCGGAACAUGUGGUGUAGCGGUGAAAUGCAUAGAUAUCACAUAGAACACCGAUCGCGAAGGCAGGUGGCCAACCAUAUACUGACGCUGAUGGACGAAAGCGUGGGGAGCGAACGGGAUUAGAUACCCCCGUAGUCC
rnacentral:rRNA from 1 species